CCUACGGGAGGCAGCAGUGAGGAAUAUUGGUCAAUGGACGAGAGUCUGAACCAGCCAAGUAGCGUGAAGGAGGAAUGCCCUGUGGGUUGUAAACUUCUUUUAUAAGGGAAUAAAACGAGGCACGUGUGCCUUUUUGCAUGUACUUUAUGAAUAAGGAUCGGCUAACUCCGUGCCAGCAGCCGCGGUAAUACGGAGGAUCCGAGCGUUAUCCGGAUUUAUUGGGUUUAAAGGGAGCGUAGAUGGGUUGUUAAGUCAGGUGUGAAAGUUUGCGGCUCAACCGUAAAAUUGCAAUUGAUACUGGCAGUCUGGAGUGCAGUUGAGGUAGGCGGAAUUCGUGGUGUAGCGGUGAAAUGCUUAGAUAUCACGAAGAACCCCGAUUGCGAAGGCAGCUUACUAAACUGUGACUGACAUUGAUGCUCGAAAGUGUGGGUAUCAAACAGGAUUAGAUACCCGAGUAGUC
rnacentral:rRNA from 1 species